AGAAUUGCUGGGUCACAUGAUAAGUACAUUCUUCUUUUACAGAUAUUGCCAUAUUGUUUCUCAAAGUGGCUGUACCAUUGGCAUUCUCACAGUAAUGUGUGAGAAGUCCAGUUGUUUCACAUUCUCACCAAUACUUACAUUGUUAGACUUUUAAACUUUAGGCAUUCUAUUGAGAAUGUAGGAACAUCUCAAUAUUAACUCAAGCAUCAGUAUUUUAAAAAUAUUCUCAGGUGACUCUAAUAUCACCUAUAUGUUCUCAUUGUUCAGCUCCCCUUUAUGAGUGAGAACAUGCAGUUCUUGGUUUUCUGUCCCUGUGUUAGUUUGCUGAGGAGAAUGGCUUCCAGCUUCAGCCAUGUCCCUGCAAAGGACAUGAUCUCAUUCCUUUUUAUGUCUGCAUAGUUUUCCAUGGUGUGUAUAUGUAUGACAUUUUCUUUAUACAGUCUAUCAUUGAUGGGUAUUUGGGUUGAUUCCAUGUCUUUUCUAUUGUGAAUAGUGCUGCAAUAAACAUACUAUAAUUGAAUGAUUUACAUUCUUUUGGGUAUAUACCCAAUAAUGGGAUUGCUGGGUCAAAUGGUAUUUCUGAUUUUAGAUCUUUGAGGAAUAGCUACACUGUCUUCCACAAUGCUUGAAUUAAUUUACAUUCCCACCAACAAUGCAAAAGUGUUCCUAUUUCUCCACAGCCUCACCAGUAUCUGUUGUUUCUAGCUUUUUAAUAAUCACCAUUUUGACUGGCAUGAGAUGGUAUCUUAUUGUGGUUUUGACUUGCAUUUCUCUAAUGAUCAGUGAUGUUGAGCUUUUUUUCGUAUGUUUGUGGGCUGCUUAAAUGUCUUUUUUUGAGAAGUGUCUGUUCAUGUCCUUUGCCAACUUUUGAUGAGGUUAUUUGUUUUCUAAAAAUUUUUUUUUUUUUUUUUUUUUUUUUUUUUUUUUUUGAGACGGAGUUUCGCUCUUGUUUACCCAGGCUGGAGUGCAAUGGCGCGAUCUCGGCUCACCGCAACCUCCGCCUCCUGGGUUCAGGCAAUUCUCCUGCCUCAGCCUCCUGAGUAGCUGGGAUUACAGGCACGCGCCACAGUGCCCAGCUAAGUUUUUGUAUUUUUAGUAGAGACGGGGUUUCACCAUGCUGACCAGUAUGGUCUCGAUCUCUUGACCUCGUGAUCCACCCGCCUCGGCCUCCCAAAGUGCUGGGAUUACAGGCGUGAGCCACCGCGCCCG
rnacentral:lncRNA from 1 species